GUGCUCACUUUGGAAUCACAUAUACUAAAAAAUUGGAAUGAUAUGGAGAAGAUUAGCAUGGCCUCUGCACAAAGAUGAAAAGCAUAUUCUGGAAGUGUUCCACAGUUUU